rnacentral:rRNA from 1 species
GGAAGAAGCGAAAGUGACGGUACCUGCAGAAGAAGCACCGGCUAACUACGUGCCAGCAGCCGCGGUAAUACGUAGGGUGCGAGCGUUAUCCGGAAUUAUUGGGCGUAAAGAGCUCGUAGGCGGUUUGUCGCGUCUGUCGUGAAAGUCCGGGGCUUAACCCCGGAUCUGCGGUGGGUACGGGCAGACUAGAGUGCAGUAGGGGAGACUGGAAUUCCUGGUGUAGCGGUGGAAUGCGCAGAUAUCAGGAGGAACACCGAUGGCGAAGGCAGGUCUCUGGGCUGUAACUGACGCUGAGGAGCGAAAGCAUGGGGAGCGAACAGGAUUAG